rnacentral:lncRNA from 1 species
UUUUACUGUUGAUUUUAUUUCUUUACUCAUCUAUUGUUCACCUAAUACCUAUUUUUUUUAAACAUAAAAAUCGCACCGCUGGUUAGGGCCUGUAAGUAAGCACUUUAUUUGAAUUUGGUGUUUGUCCAAUUUUGUGAAUUCUUGGUUGGUCAGCGGACCCCAGACCUCACAACCAUGAAGGGCAAUGGGUUCUAUAACUGAUUUAAGUAUUUUUAGCCAGAUCCGAAUGCAUUACACCGCCUCCCACAUUCUAUUUUACUUCCUACCGGGUUGCUGACUUCCGGAGCGAUUUACGCUAUUGUUUUUAUCAUUAGUUUACUAGGUCGUCAAUGCAUUUCUGACUGAAAUAGUUCCGAAUGCCUACGUUUAAAUUACAGCAUGAACAUUGUUCAGUGCCUCUGUGUUCAGGUUCUUCAAAAUGUAAUGGUAUUGUGAGCUUCUGUAGUUUCCCAGUCGAUGUAGAGCUCAGGAAACCGUGGUUUGUGGCAGAACGUCGUGACAAGUGUAGGUGUGUAGUACACAUUUCGUCAAGAGUGACUUUGUUGAGGGGAAAAUUGUGGGGCGACAAUACCUAAAAAGAGGUGUUGUUCCUACAGUCUUCGCGUGGAACUGGCACAUUCAAUAGUGACCUGGUGUUUGGAAAAGAAAACUGAAACCUCCUGCCCCGACUGAAGAGGAUGAAGAACAAGGUGCGCUGCCUAUGGACUGUGCCGUCUCUUGAUCCAGGCCAGAUUACUGUGCAGUCCCUGAACAUGGCAAACCAUGAGCACAUAAGAGAAAUUGAGGAGCUUCGAGCCAAGCUGGAGAAACUGACCGCACAACACGGCUUUGGUCUACAGCGAUUUGCUGGUUCUGACGAGGAUAUACGUUUUUACACAAGACCCUGCCAUCAAUCGAUGAGUUCUUCUUGUUUAUGACUCGUCUGUCGCUGGGUCUGAAGCAGAAGGAUUUGGCCCAUCGGUUCAGGAUCCACCAAUCGACAGUGAGACAGAUUAUCAUAUCUUGGGCCAUCAUCCUCUAUUGUCUGCUUGGAUCAGCACGGAUAUGGAUCCCCAAGGAAACAUCAAAGCACACCAGCCACCUGAGUUCAAGGACUUUCCAGACACCCAGGUAGUGAUCGACUGCACUGAACUCCGCUGCCAGACAUCAUCUUCACUACUAUUGCAGAGUGAGGUGUUUUCUUCCUACAAGUCACACUGUACCUUUUUAAGGGCAUGUUGGGAUUGUCACCACAUGGAGUUGUCACUUAUGUGUCAUCCUUGUAUGCUGGAUCUGUGAGUGACAAGGAGAUCUUCAAGUAACGUAAAUUCCGGACUAUAAGCCGCAACUUUUUUCCCAGCUUUGAACCUCGCGGCUUAAACAAUGACACGGCUAAUAUAUGGAUUUUUCCCGCUUUCAAUUUUUUUUCUUGCAAAAAAAAAACACAUUCUGUGACGUGCUCAGUUUUUGGGCGGCAUGAAGCUUUCAUUAGACCAAUGAAAUUGCUGAACGGGUUAAGGUCAAACAACUUUUUUGUUUACUGUUUAGAUUAAAUCGAGCGCUCUCAAACUUCCCAUCAUUCUGAUUACGGUAGUCAUUUUGUCACCCUCAUCAUGGCAAAGACACGGAGAAAUGCAUAUGAUGCAGCUUUGAAGUUGAAGGCGAUUGAUCUGGCUGUUGGAAAAGGAAAUAGAGCUGCUGCAUGGGAGCUUGGUCUUAAUGAGUCGAUGAUAAGACGUUGGAAACAGCAGCGUGAGGAACUAAAGCUUACUGCAAAUUUUUUAUUUUUUGUUACAAGCCAUGUUUCGUUAAAGCCUAUUUAUUUUUGUUACAAGCCGUGUUUCGUCAAAGCCUGUGUAAAGUUCAUUUGUUUCAAUGUACCGGUAGGCACCUGCGGCUUAUCCUCUUACAUCUAGACGUUCCGCUAGCGGAACACCACUCCAAUAUCCAAUGAUAGGGUGUGGCGCAAAAUACAAACUCCUCGAAAAUCCGAAAACUUCAAUUUUUCAAACAUAUGACUAUUUUACACCAUUUUAAAGAUAAGACUCUCCUUUAUCUAACCACACUGUCCGAUUUCAAAAAGGCUUUACAACGAAAGCAAAACAUUAGAUUAUGUCAGCAGAGUACCCAGCCAGAAAUAAUCAGACACCCAUUUUUCAAGCUAGCAUAUAAUGUCACAAAAACCAAAACCACAGCUAAAUGCAGCACUAACCUUUGAUGAUCUUCAUCAGAUGACACUCCUAGGACAUUAUGUUAUACAAUACAUGCAUGUUUUGUUCAAUCAAGUACAUAUUUAUAUCAAAAACCAGCUUUUUACAUUAGCAUGUGACGUUCAGAACUAGCAUUCCCACCGAACACUUCCGGUGAAUUUACUAAAUUACUCACGAUAAACGUUCACAAAAAACAUAACAAUUAUUUUAAGAAUUAUAGAUACAGAACUCCUUUAUGCAAUCGCGGUGUCCGAUUUUAAAAUAGCUUUUCGGUGAAAGCACAUUUUGCAAUAUUCUGAGUAGAUAGCUCGCCAUCACGGGCUAGCUAAUUUGACACCCACCAAGUUUGGUACUAUUCAGGUGCGCUUAAUAGUCUGGAAAUUACGGUAGUCUGGAAUUAUUUCCUUACUCACCCCUGACAUCGGCAUUAUGGUGGAUAAGGGCUUUCUCGUAGAUGAUAUUGUUCUGUGCCAGGUCUACCGCCAGCCUUUCUGUCAAGACACACACAGAUGCCAGCGCAUGAGGUUAGGGAGACCCAAUCCAUAGCCAGGCUGAGAGUGCAUGUUGAAUGAAUGAUCCACAGAGUAAAGGAGCACAAGCUGUUUGACAGGGUCAUCCCCCUGACCAUCUCAGGCAGCAUCAACCAAUUAUUUGCAGUGGCGUGCCUGUUGGUCAACUAUCAAAAUGGACCUUUGGUCAGAACAUAGGCCAAGCCAGUGUAAAUGUACAUGUGUUUAUUUGCUAGCAGAAAAAUAAUAAUUUGUUUAUCUAUGACAUGUAUCAAUAAUUUGUAUUGUAGUGAAUAUCUGUUUGUGUGGAGCUUGUAUUGGCUUUAAUUAGGCAAUGAGUUUAGGAGUGGGGGAAAGAAAUCAAGUAAACACAGAAUAGCCAGAAUGCAAGAUUGAAUACAAUAUUAGAGGUGUAAUUGAUUAACUGAACUGUUGAACAUUUGCUGAAAUAAAUGUUUUUAAACAAA